GAUGCACCUGACCUCAUUUUUGAGUCUCAUAGCACAGGGUCUGAAUACUAGGGUGGCAGUGUUGAACCCCCACGAGUUGCUGGUGCAGUUGUUGGACAGGGCCGACCACGACGUGAAGAACAAGUUUGGGCCAGGGGCAGCUGAAAUAGCAAAGGCCUUUGGGAGAGAGAAUUUCAUCAGUUUAUUAGAAGGACAGAAGAGUAUCGUCAGAUGGUACAGUCCAUUAGUAAAGGGCUUAGGUGGACAGCGUCAUUUUCCCCCCUAAUUUCUAAAAGCUUAAUUAUUGUUGCUUAUUCUUUUAACACAUUGUAUGUAUGUAUGUAUGUAUCUAAACCUGCAUUUUUACCUGGAUAUUUGUUUUGCAUAACAACAGUUUUAACUGUAUGAGAUUUUUAUGGAUAAAUGAAAUAAUAAACCAUCAAGAAUAACCUCAAGACACAAAGGAUUGACUU